GACCGCGACCCCAGGUCAGACG
rnacentral:rRNA from 1 species